CCCCUAGAUGUCCUGGGCCGCACGCGUGCUACACUGACGCCUACAGCGAGUACUUCCCAGCCCCGAGAGGUGGCUGGUAAUCAGCAAUAGGCGUCGUGAUGGGGAUAGAUCUUUGGAAUUAUGGAUCUUGAACGAGGAAUGCCUAGUAAGCGCAGGUCAUUAGCCUGCGCUGAUUAAGUCCCUGCCCUUUGUACACACCGCCCGUCGCUCCUACCGAUUUCGAGUGGUCCGGUGAAUCUUUCGGACUGCGCGCGGCCUCGUGCCGUGUCGCGGAAAGUCAGGUAAACCUUAUCACUUAGAGGAAGGAGAANUCGUAGCA
rnacentral:rRNA from 1 species